rnacentral:rRNA from 1 species
UGCAACGGCCAUACCACGUUGAAUAUGCCAGUUCUCGUCCGAUCACUGAAGCCAAGCAACGUCGGGCGCGGUUAGUACUUGGAUGGGUGACCGCUUGGGAACACCGCGUGUCGUUGUUU